rnacentral:rRNA from 1 species
AAACGACCCCUCUGACCGAGGUAAAGCGGUCGCUGUGUUACCUCUUGUCGAGGCNNACGUUAAAGAUCGUUCCGCGUUGUGAGUCUAACMAYUUGUAAACUUUUACAACCGGCAGCGCUGGAUCCCUUGGCACGUCAUUCGAUGAAGACCGUUGCAAAUUGCGAUAAAGUGAUGUGAUGCGCAAGUCCACCACUUAUACGUGAAUCAUCGAGUUGUUGAACGCAUUGCACCGCGCCCUAAUCCGGCUGCGGUAUGCCCCUUUGAGCGUCAUUUAUUCCUUCGGGAGUCUUUCCUUGCGAAAGACCCGAGUUCGGAGUCCUCGGUCUUUGGAUCGUGUUCUCUUAGAUGCGUCGCGCCGAUCGCCUGAUGGGUACUCUAAUGCCUGAGCGUGGAGUCCCUCUGGAGUUGAGACGUGCUUGACCGGCCGUUGGGCUCGNGUCACCAAGUCCGCGUCCUUUGGGACGGCGGUACUACAACGCAUGACCUCAUUGGGGUAGGACAACCCGCUAGACUUAAGCAUAUUAAUCAGCGGAGGAAAAGAAACUAACAAGGAUUCCCCCNAG